rnacentral:tRNA from 1 species
GCCCCCGUGCUGGAACUGGCAUACAGGGACGACUCAAAAUCGUCUGCCCUUGCGGGCUUGUGGGUUCGAGUCCCACCGGGGGUA